rnacentral:rRNA from 1 species
GGGGGGGGGGGGGGGGGGGGGGGGGGGGGGGGGGGGGGGCGGGGGGGGGGGGGGGGGGGGGGGGGCUCGGGGGGGGAGGGGGGGGGUGGCGCGUGGGGGACCGGGCCGUGACGGUGGGGGAGCUUGGGGGAACGGGGGGUAGUACCGGAUGGGGGCUCCUGCUGCGUGGUGGGGGUUGGAAAGUUUCGGCGGUUGGGGAUGGACUCGCGGCUUAUCAGCUUGUUGGUGGGGUAGUGGCUUACCAAGGCUUUGACGGGUAGCCGGCCUGAGAGGGUGACCGGCCACAUUGGGACUGAGAUACGGCCCAGACUCCUACGGGAGGCAGCAGUGGGGAAUAUUGCACAAUGGGCGGAAGCCUGAUGCAGCAACGCCGCGUGCGGGAUGACGGCCUUCGGGUUGUAAACCGCUUUCGCCUGUGACGAAGCGUGGGUGACGGUAAUGGGUAAAGAAGCACCGGCUAACUACGUG